GUGCCAGCCGCCGCGGUAACACGUAGGUGGCGAGCGUUAUUCGGAAUCACUGGGCGUAAAGGGUCCGCAGGGGGUCUGCCAAGUCCGGUGUGAAAGCCCGCGGCUCAACCGCGGAAGUGCAUUGGAAACUGGCGGACUUGAGUACAGGAGAGGAGAGCGGAAUUCCCGGUGUAGCGGUGGAAUGCGUAGAUAUCGGGAAGAACACCGAGCAGCGAAGGCAGCUCUCUGGCCUGUCACUGACCCUGAGGGACGAAAGCGUGGGCAGCGAACAGGAUUAGAAACCCGAGUAGUCC
rnacentral:rRNA from 1 species